GGGAGUAUAGCUCAGUGGUAGAGCAUUCGACUGCAAAUCGAGAGAUCCCCGGUUCAAACCAGCGUGCCCUCU
rnacentral:tRNA from 1 species